rnacentral:ribozyme from 1 species
UUUUUUUUUUUUUUUUUUUUUUUUCUAAUUCAUAAAAUAUAAACUAAAGUUAGAAUUUGUUCACUUUUUCUUAGUAGGACGUCGGUCACAAGGCAUGAGAUCUGGAUUUUUCUUCAUAUAAUUAAUCAG